ACACUCCUGCGGGAGGCAGCAGUGGGGAAUUUUGGACAAUGGGCGCAAGCCUGAUCCAGCCAUGCCGCGUGCGGGAAGAAGGCCUUCGGGUUGUAAACCGCUUUUGUCAGGGAAGAAAAGGUUCUGGCUAAUACCUGGGACUCAUGACGGUACCUGAAGAAUAAGCACCGGCUAACUACGUGCCAGCAGCCGCGGUACUACGUAGGGUGCAAGCGUUAAUCGGAAUUACUGGGCGUAAAGCGUGCGCAGGCGGUUAUGCAAGACAGAGGUGAAAUCCCCGGGCUCAACCCGGGAACUGCCUUUGUGACUGCAUGGCUAGAGUACGGUAGAGGGGGAUGGAAUUCCGCGUGUAGCAGUGAAAUGCGUAGAUAUGCGGAGGAACACCGAUGGCGAAGGCAAUCCCCUGGACCUGUACUGACGCUCAUGCACGAAAGCGUGGGGAGCAAACAGGAUUAGAAACCCCGGUAGUCCCAUG
rnacentral:rRNA from 1 species